GUCGGAUACGGGGACAUGCAUCCGGUCACUAUUGGUGGCAAAAUAGUGGGGUCGCUUUGCGCAAUAGCGGGCGUGUUGACUAUUGCCUUACCCGUGCCAGUGAUUGUAUCGAAU
rfam:Poecilia formosa, whole genome shotgun sequence.